rnacentral:tRNA from 1 species
UGUUAAGGUUUGCAAAAUAAUAGAAACUGCAAAUUUCUAUACAUGAAAUUUUCAUCAAGCCUU